GACGAACGCUGGCGGCGCGCUUAACACAUGCAAGUCGAGCGAAGCGGCGGACGGGUGAGUAACACGUGAGUAACCUGCCUUAGACCUUGGGAUAGCCUCGGGAAACCGGGAUUAAUACCAAAUGGUCUAAGAUGGACUCGCGUCCCAUUCGUGAGUUGGUGGGGUAACGGCCCACCAAGGCGACGAUGGGUAGCCGGCCUGAGAGGGUGAACGGCCACAUUGGAACUGAGAAACCGUCCAAACGCGACGGGGGGCAGCAGGGGGGGAAAUUGCACAAUGGGCGAAAGCCUGAUGCAGCGACGCUGCGUGGGGGAUUAAGGCUUUCGGGUUGUAAAGCUCUUUCGCUAUCGAACGGGUAGGUGGAGAAGAAGCGCCGGCUAACUACGUGCCAGCAGCCGCGGUAAUAC
rnacentral:rRNA from 1 species